CCACUUCAUGCCUCGAACCCAGGAAGACCAGAUUCGGUUCCAGCUGGAGGCCUUCAUGUUCCAGGGAGGAUACAGUCCUUCUAUCUACAUAACGUGUAUUGUGAAGGCCAGUCUUGCUUCUGCACCCAAUGUGGAGUCA